rnacentral:rRNA from 1 species
UACCCUGGUAGUCCAGACCGUAAACGGUGGGCACUAGUUGUGGGAACCUUCCACGGUUUCUGCGACGCAGCUAACGCAUUAAGUGCCCCGCCUGGGGAGUACGAUCGCAAGAUUAAAACUCAAAGGAAUUGACGGGGCCCCGCACAAGCAGCGGAGCAUGCGGCUUAAUUCGACGCAACGCGAAGAACCUUACCAAGGCUUGACAUAUAGGGAAAAGUGGCAGAGAUGUCAUGUCCGCAAGGGCUCUAUACAGGUGGUGCAUGGUUGUCGUCAGCUCGUGUCGUGAGAUGUUGGGUUAAGUCCCGCAACGAGCGCAACCCUCGUUCUGUGUUGCCAGCAUUUAGUUGGGGACUCACAGGAGACUGCCGGGGUUAACUCGGAGGAAGGUGGGGAUGACGUCAAAUCAUCAUGCCCCUUAUGUCUUGGGCUGCACGCAUGCUACAAUGGCCGGUACAGAGGGCUGCAAUACCGUAAGGUGGAGCGAAUCCCAAAAAGCCGGUCUCAGUUCGGAUUGAGGUCUGCAACUCGACCUCAUGAAGUUGGAGUUGCUAGUAAUCGUAGAUCAGCAACGCUACGGUGAAUACGUUCCCGGGGCUUGUACACACCGCCCGUCACGUCACGAAAGUCGGUAACACCCAAAGUCGGUGCC